GACGUAGGGCGCAAGCGUUGUCCGGAUUUAUUGGGCGUAAAGAGCUCGUAGGCGGCCUGUCGCGUCGACCGUGAAAACCCGCAGCUCAACUGCGGGCUUGCGGUCGAUACGGGCAGGCUGGAGUUCGGUAGGGGAGACUGGAAUUCCUGGUGUAGCGGUGAAAUGCGCAGAUAUCAGGAGGAACACCGGUGGCGAAGGCGGGUCUCUGGGCCGAUACUGACGCUGAGGCGCGAAAGCGUGGGGAGCGAACAGG
rnacentral:rRNA from 1 species